AUUGAACGCUGGCGGCAGGCCUAACACAUGCAAGUCGAACGAGUGGCGGACGGGUGAGUACUGUCUGGGAAACUGCCCGAUGGAGGGGGAUAACUACUGGAAACGGUAGAUAAUACCGCAUAACAUAGGAUGAGCCCAGAUGGGAUUAGCUAGUAGGGGGGGUAACGGCUAAUCGAGGCGACGAUCCCUAGCUGGUCUGAGAGGGUGCUAAGCCACACUGGAACUGAGCCACGGUCCAGACUCCUACGGGAGGCAGCAGUGGGGAAUAUUGCACAAUGGGCGCAAGCCUGAGGCAGCCAUGCCGCGGGUAUGAAGAAGGCCUUCGGGUUGGAAAGUACUUUCAGCGAGGAGGCGUUACUCGCAGAAGAAGCACCGGCUAACUCCGUGCCAGCAGCCGCGGUAAUAC
rnacentral:rRNA from 1 species